GCCCCUGUGGCCUAAUGGAUAAGGCAUCGGCCUCCUAAGCCGGGGACUGUGGGUUCGAGUCCCACCAGGGGGUA
rnacentral:tRNA from 1 species